UCACACAGCCAGGUUGCACAGCCUCCUGAGUAUAUGUGAGCUGUGAGGAUGUGGUGGCCUUCAUUUCCCUGCAGCACAGAGCAGCUUUCAGCCACGAAAAGGUCGUCGCAAAGUUCAUCGAUACCGACUGCCAACUUCCAGCCACCAUACUCCUCGCAUCCUCUGACUCUCUGCCAGUGUCUCUGACCACAAGGACCCUCAUGGCUCUCCAGAGGGAUUGGCUGAGAAAAGCCCCCACAGCCAGCUUCCACUUGGAGGCUCCAUCCCCUCUGUUGGCUCCAUAAUAUGACAGACUGUUUCCCCAGCUUGCGUCUUACACCAUCCUCUCCUCUCAGGGUGCUGUCAGCUCGAGGAGGGUCCUAAGCUUUUUGUCAUUCUGCCAAAGGAUGACUUGUGUUGUGACUUCUUCUGGAAAUCUGAACUAAGCUCUUGGUUCCAUCUGCAUCUCCCGUUCAUUCGCUGUUGCCUGUAAAUGUGUUAUUUUUAGUAGAAAAUGUACAUCUAAUGCACACGUGCCUCCUGAGUACCUCUAGGGGAAACAACCUUAAUAAUAAUGUGGAAAUUUCCCUUUAACACCUUCGCCCCAUGAUGUUCCGAUUGACACGACUGUCGGCCAAUGAAAAGCAGCGCUCGGACUCGGCCAACUCUCUGACCUCAGCAGAUUGUUUGGCUCAGUCUCAGCUUUCAUCCUCAACCCGGGGGGGUCACAGGAAUGUUUGUUCCAUCUAUUGUCUGCUACGACCUUUGACCUCUGACCUCAUUACUGCUGCUGUGGGUGAUGUUGACCUCAGAGGAUCACAGAGCGGGUCUCGGAACCAGAGCAGGCAGGUUCUGUAUUCAUCAGGCAUCUCAGACCAAAGAAUCCAGCUCAACACAUGUACAAACAUUUGCUGCUGAGAUGCAUUGGAAAUGUUCACUGAAUAUAACUUUAUAUUUCAAAAAAUAACACACCAUGUCAUCCUGAGGGUGGGUUGUGAUCAACCCACCGUGUAUUAAAGGAUAGAUUGUGUGUCCACCCAGUC